CUCUUUUCGCGAGGCCCCGUCUAUCGCUACGCGCCACAACUCAGCGGAAGUCCCGCCCGCCUGGGCCUUUUUGCUGCUCUUCGCUUCCGGUCGCGGUGCCAUGGCCGCGCCGGGUAUCUCCAAAGCGCAGUACCUGCAGCGCUACCUCAGCGGCCCUCCCGCCGCUCAGCCCCGCCGCCGCCGCAAGAAGAAGCCGCCGAGCGGCUCCGGCAGAGCUGGGAUGCGGAUCGUAGAUGACGACGUGGGCUGGAGCAGCAUCGCCGCUGUGCCUGAGAAGGAAGAGGAGGAGGACGAAAGCGACGUGCCCGUGGUGGCAGAGUUUAUUGAUGAGCGUCCAAAUGAAGUGAAGCUCAUGGAGGAGUUCCGAACAAACACUAAAUGGAAGCUUUUAGGAGACCAGAAUGAAGACUCACAGAGCUCAGAUAUUUCAGCACCUGCCAAACCUACCACACGGCAACAACGUCAUGACUCCCCAGAUUUGUCCCCUCCCAGACAAGAGAGAAAUGAUUCCCCCAAACUCUUACCUUGCAAGCAACGACAGGGCGACUCCCCAGGCCUGUCACCUCCCAGGAGGAAGCGCCACGACUCCCCAGACCUCUCACCUCCCCGGAGGAAGCGCCACGACUCCCCAGACCUCUCACCUCCCAGGAGGAAGCGCCAUGACUCCCCAGACCUCUCACCUCCCCGGAGGAAGCGCCACGACUCCCCAGACCUCUCACCUCCCCGGAGGAAGCGCCACGACUCCCCAGACCUCUCACCUCCCCGGAGGAAGCGCCACGACUCCCCAGACCUCUCACCUCCCAGGAGGAAGCGCCACGACUCCCCAGACCUCUCACCUCCCCGGAGGAAGCGCCACGACUCCCCAGACCUCUCACCUCCCAGGAGGAAGCGCCACGACUCCCCAGACCCGUCCCCACCAAAACGGCAGCGCCACGACUCCCCAGAUCUCUCUCCUGAAAGAGUCAGUUCAGCAAUGGGAAAAAAAGGCUGUCAAGUGUCAGAUGCUUCCCGCGUAGAAAAGCUCCGUCGUGACUCUGAUUCUCCACCUCCACGAAGGGGGACCCAAAAUGCCUCUGAGGCAGACCUUUCCCCCCAGCGGAAGAAUCACAGGGCUCUGCCUUCUGGAAAGGGUCAGCGUGGUUCAAGGAGUCCCCCUGAUCUCUCACGUCAUCGGUACCCUGACGAUAAGGGAUCUCCCAAAAAGACCAAAAUGAUGUCUGGGGUCAAAGCCGGCUUGGUGUCAGCUGAUGUGCUGCGGAAAGAGCAGCAGGAGCUCAGGAAGCAGGAGAGAAGUAGCAAGCACUUGGAAGAGGAAUCCCGACACACAGAAACCAUCUUCCGUGACAAGUCAGGCCGCAAGAGGGACCUUGAGCAGGAACGGCUUGAACAGAAGCAGAAAGAUGCAGCAAAGUCAGAGCGAGAUGAACAAUAUGCCAGAUGGGGAAAGGGGUUAGCGCAAGGGAGGCAACAGCAGCAGAAUGUGGAAGAUGCAAUAAAAGAGAUGCAAAAGCCUUUGGCCCGUUACAUCGAUGAUGAGGAUCUGGAUCGAAUGCUGCGAGAACAAGAGAGGGAAGGAGACCCAAUGGCUGAGUUCAUCAAAAAAAGGAAAGCCAAAGAGAACAAGGAAAAAGAAAAACCUAAGUACAGUGGACCAGCACCUCCCCUCAACAGAUUUAACAUAUGGCCUGGGCAUCGCUGGGAUGGGGUGGACAGGUCCAACGGAUUUGAGAAGCAGUUCUUUGCCAGGAUGGCCGACAGGAAGGCAGUUCAGGAGCUUGCAUACAAGUGGAGCAUUGAAGACAUGUAGAAAGAAGAAAUAACCAUGUGAGACAACGUGCCUGAAUUGAGAUUUGCUUGCUACCACUGCCAGAGCCAUAAGUAAUGGCUCCUCUGCCUGGAUCAAGCGCUGUCCUCGGCAUUCAGUAUCCUAGAAAACGGACUCAACCAGAUGGCAGCCAAGCUCCAAAAAGAAGACGGGAGGUGGCUCUCACACGAGGUGGCGUCCAUUUGCAGCAAGAUCUCUGCCUCCACCCAAGUGCAAAAGGAGAAGGGAAGCCAUCUCCUUGCAAGGAAAAAACAUAAAGCUCCUGGGCAUCUGUGCUUCACUUCUCCCUUCCCUGCAGGUCCAUCAGUAUGCAGUGCCCGUUACCUCGAUGAAGGACCCACGCUGCCUUUGUGCAGUCAAGGUUACCUCCACGCUGAGCUCUGCAGCAGCCUCGUGGUGCUCACACCCAGCUCACCGCCCGCUCUCCCAGCCCCAAGACCCUCCCGUGCCCAGCAGAACCUCUGCCACAUAUCUCUGCUUUCCUAACAGCCCUUGGAAGCCACACACCCAUCUGCCAGGUGGGUUUUUCAGCAGCAAAUCCUGCUCCAAAGAGAGGGUUUGGGCGAAUGGGAAGUGGCAGGCGGACCCACUCAUGCAAUCGCAUGGGCUGCCAGACACACCUGCUCCCAGCGCCGUAAUGAAGGCAAAUAUUUAGAGAAUGGCAGAGUCCAAAUUGCUCAGCGUUUCACUCGGAAUCAACAGCCUUUCGGAGGCUGGGAUUAAUUUGAAGGAAUUUACUGGUGGAGUUGGUGGCAGAUAAAACAGUUUGCUUAUUUCACACUUGUAUGGCCACCUGCUACGAACUGUUUGUUCAGUUUCAAAUUCUUUAAUUAAAAUCAACAUAAAGCAGAUUGAAAACAUCCCAAGAAGGGGAUGCUUGAUUUGCUGGAGGAUAUUGCAGAAGACAUGCCAAAGCACUGCCAAGGCGCCUUACCCAUCGGAGCCCCGGCAUGUGCUGGCCGUGGGCACAGUUUGCCACGGUUUCCAGCCCUGCCAGUGAUACUCGGGCACCUGUGCUCCCUGCCCCUCAUUCCAGGGCACCAUUUAUCCACAUUUCUUCCUCCUUAUGUCCUCCCUGCAAGGCAAGCCCUGCGCACUCGGUGCACGGCGGCGCGUUGGCCCCUUUGUGCGGCUGAUUAGAGGCCCUCCUCCACCAAACAUCAAAGCUUCAAUUAACACAGGCCGCUUGCAACCCUCUUGCAGAACUCAGAUAAGAAUGGAAUUUUCCCUUGGAAAAUGGAUUUGUAUUUAGCUGCAUGUGCUGUGCAGUAAAUGACCUGCUCUGUGCGGUGGCAAAGAGGGUCCGGGGACAAUUAGGGUGCUCAUUGGGAACCGGUUAUCUGAAGGAAACAGGCACACUGCUAUUUAGCUGUCUAAUAUCCCAAUGGGAGGGGAACCAAAAUUAAAAACUAUCUCUCUUUUCAGAGCCAUUUGAAUCUGAAGGAGGAUUCCUUUUUUAUUCGGUGCUUUUCACUCGAAGGUUUCUUUUUUUUUUUUCCCCUCUCUCUGAUUCCCUUAUUUGCGGGUGGCCGUUUGCAGAUGAGAAGAAUGGAGAGGGGAAGGAGGGCUGACCGUGCUGGGGGGCACAGCGCUGUGCUGGGGCUCUCAAGCAUCCCCAAGGCUGCUUGGUGCUGGGACAGCAGGGCAGUGGGAUGGCAGGACAGUGGGACAGCAGGAUAGAAGCCCUCCUCAGCCCCACGGCCUUGGGCAUCCCUCGGGGGGGUGGCAGAGUAGUAGGACAGAAGGACAGUGGGACAGCAGGGCAGUGGGGCAGCGGGGUGGCAGGACAGCAGGACCAGCAGGGCAGCGGACAGAGGGAUGGUGGGACAGCAGAACAGCACAGCAAUGGGACAGCGGGAUGGCAGGGCAGUAGGACGGCAGGUUGGCAGGGCAGCGUGAUAGCAGAACAGUGGAACAGUGGCAGGACAGCGAGAUGGCAGAUCAGGAGGACAGCAGGACAGAAGGGCAGUGGGACAGUGGGAGAGCAGGACAGCAGCCCUCCUCAGCCCCACAGCCUCAGGCAUCCCUCAAGCACGUGGCUCCUCUGCACAGCAGCAGCAUCUCAGCAGAGGAUCCACUGAUGCUUGGAGACACCGCCGGAGCCUCUCCAUGUAUUCAUCAAAGCUCGUGCAUCCCCCACUCCAAUGCAUGCGAAACAAUAACAAACACGCAGUGCAGAAAGUUAAUAUGUAGCCAGACGAGCGUUUUAAUAACUGGAAAGGUUAAAAAAAAAGCCCUCUCAGGCUCCAUGUGGGCUCCUGCCAGCUCGCGUUCCUGAGAGUCUGGGAGACCCAGAGUACCAUGACUGUAUUGAUUCAAUUAUUCUCUACAAUGUAAUACUCUGCAUUUGUGUGAUAGCAACAAACAGAGUUGAAAGACAUACAAAAAUAAAUGAUCUGAAAGUUAA